rnacentral:rRNA from 1 species
UACGUAGGGUGCAAGCGUUGUCCGGAAUUAUUGGGCGUAAAGAGCUCGUAGGCGGUUUGUCGCGUCUGCUGUGAAAACCCGAGGCUCAACCUCGGGCCUGCAGUGGGUACGGGCAGACUGGAGUGUGGUAGGGGAGACUGGAAUUCCUGGUGUAGCGGUGGAAUGCGCAGAUAUCAGGAGGAACACCGAUGGCGAAGGCAGGUCUCUGGGCCACUACUGACGCUGAGAAGCGAAAGCAUGGGGAGCGAACAGG